rnacentral:rRNA from 1 species
CAGUAGCCGCGGUAAAACGGAGGGUGCAAGCGUUAAUCGGAAUUACUGGGCGUAAAGCGCACGCAGGCGGUCUGACAAGUCAGAUGUGAAAUCCCCGGGCUUAACCUGGGAACUGCAUUUGAAACUGUCAGGCUGGAGUCUUGUAGAGGGGGGUAGAAUUCCAGGUGUAGCGGUGAAAUGCGUAGAGAUCUGGAGGAAUACCGGUGGCGAAGGCGGCCCCCUGGACAAAGACUGACGCUCAGGUGCGAAAGCGUGGGGAGCAAACAGGAUUAGAUACCCCAGUAGUCCCUGUCUCUUAUAC